CUAAUCUCAAAAAGCCGAUCGUAGUCCGGAUUGGAGUCUGCAACUCGACUCCAUGAAGUCGGAAUCGCUAGUAAUCGCCGAUCAGAAUGCCGCGGUGAAUACGUUCCCGGGCCUUGUACACACCGCCCGUCACACCAUGGGAGUUUGUUGCACCAGAAGUAGGUAGUCUAACCGCAAGGAGGACGCUUACCACGGUUUGGCCGAUGACUGGGGUGAAGUCGUAACAAGGUAGCCGUAGA
rnacentral:rRNA from 1 species